rnacentral:rRNA from 1 species
UACGUAGGGGGCAAGCGUUGUCCGGAUUUAUUGGGCGUAAAGAGCGUGUAGGCGCCAGACAGGUCCGUUGUGAAAACUCGAGGCUCAACCUCGAGACGCCGAUGGAAACCGUCUGGCUAGAGUCCGGAAGAGGAGAGUGGAAUUCCUGGUGUAGCGGUGAAAUGCGCAGAUAUCAGGAAGAAUACCCGUGGCUAAGGCGGCUCUCUAGUACGGUACUGACGCUGAGACGCGAAAAGCGUGGGGAGCGAACAGG